UACUGCUCUCGUUUUCUCCCCUCACAGCCGCUCCUCUCUCCCUCAGGCUCUUAGCCACUCCUCUCCAUGGCGCCUCCCCUUCCCUCGACGUCGUCCGGCCCCUCCUCUUCCCGCCACGGCGUUGACCGACCCCUCCUCUCCCCACCUCGAGCGAGCCCACGCGCCGGCCGGUAUAGCAUCCUGUGUAGCCAGAUCCGGCCGGUCGGUGCAGAAGGGUUCGCCGCUCUCCGUUCGUGCCGGAUACCCAGCUGGCCCGUCCGGAUGUGGGCGGGACGACAUCGGGCACAGCUUUGCGGCGCGGCGAGGAAGAGAAACGCCGCCCUCGUCGUUGGCUCCGGUCUUCUACCCAGCUGAGCACCGGAGCAUAGUCGCGCUGCCGCGCGGUCGAUCUGCAUGACGAGGCCAUUCCAGGCCGAUUCCGGUGCGAAGGUGUGCAUACCGUUGCGCGGAGGGCGACCACACCAGCGACACGACCUUCUGCUCACCGUAUCGCUGCACAGCAUGCCUAUGGUAGAAUCAAAGUUGAUGACCGGUGUGGUAUGGAGCUAGAUGAGACUGACUUGGCUGUCUGGCUUAAGUUGGAGGCUGCAACGGAAGAGUUCAUUCAGAAAAAAAUACAGGCUUUAAAGAUGUUUGUGAGUUUCUAGUUCCAAGAUAUCAAGAGGAAGACAAGUCUUCUAGAAUUGUCAAAUCCCUGUCAUUUUCAAGAUUGAGUUCAUCAAAUUCAGGUAUGCGACGAUGGGCAUUCUGAGCUAAUCCCCUGCUUGGAUAGGAAUUUGAUUAUCAGACAAGGUUGAAGAUGGAUUUAAAACUGAUGGAGCAUCAUGAGCAUCAUUGCCCUACUUAUGAGAGACGCUUUAAUUGCCUGAUUCCACCGCCACAAGGCUAUAGGGUCAGCAGACUGUCCUUUCUUUCAUUUUUUUCGCCAUCUCCUCACCUUAAUUUGAUUAUGUCUCUGAGCUACAAAGUUGCUGGAGUUGGGUCCUACACACACCAUAUGAACAUAUAUCUUCAAGCUGAACCACUUAAUUUAGUGAUUAUACAUUAUGUGGUCAA